AUGAUUCUUUGGGUUGCAACUAAGAGAAAUUCACAUCAAACUAGUGCAAAGAAAAGGUAUUUCAGCAAAGCAUCAUCCCCUUACCAUCUUUCUAUUUCUUUCUGCACAGCUGUUUUGGCAUCCUCUGCCAUCAGACUAGCUCUCAAUGUUUUGACCAUGCAUAUGGCCAAACAUGACCAUUCCACAACUUCUAAGAAUGUGCCUCCUCCACUCAAGCAUCGUGCAGGUCAACACACCUGCUAGGAAUAGAAAACCCUUUUUAGCCUCAGGAAUACACUUUUUUCUUUCCAAAAGUAAACUGCAACAUAUCAACAGUUAACAAGAAUGAAGGUAAACUUUUACAGCUUAUUUAUUCCACUGAAGUGAACACUAGCUACCCACUUAGCCAAGUACCCUAGAUUGCUUCAGGCAAGUGAACCCUUGAGCAGGAGAUAUAAUUGGGAAUUACCUCCUUUAGCAUUUAAUCUUUUUCACCCAGUUAUUUCUGUAUAGCUUUCCUUCUCUGAAUACUCUUUCAUCAUUUACUCUUUGGGGAAUCUGAGCAUUGCAUUGCCUUUUGAGAUCUGGUUGUAAGGCAUUUGAAGUCCUUUGGUAAGAGCAGGGUUUCCCACUGUGAGAAAGGUAUUUUACUAGCAACAGCUGUUACCUCGGGGUGAGGGGUAAGGGGUGGAUUGUGCAGGACUUUUACUUCCUAAAUGAAAUAUUUCUGAAAUGUUUGAAAUGUUUACAAUGAGUAUCAAUUGUUUUUGUAAUCAGAAUAUAAUGUGAACUCAUAUUUCUUUAGCAUGU
rnacentral:lncRNA from 1 species